ACGCUAGUACAGGUGGUGCAUGGCUGUCGUCAGCUCGUGUCGUGAGAUGUUCGGGUUAAGUCCCGCAACGAGCGCAACCCUUACCCUUAGUUGUUUUCCCGAAAGGAUUACCCUCUAAGGGGACUGCCCCGGACAACGGGAGGAAGGUGGGGAUGACGUCAAGUCCGCAUGCUCCUUACGUCUAGGGCUACACACGUCCUACAAUGGGGUCGACAGUGGGAUGCAAAGCCGCGAGGUGGAGCCAAUCCCCAAACGGCCUCUCAGUUCGGAUAGUAGUCUGCAACUCGACUACUUGAAGUCGGAAUCGCUAGUAAUGGCGGAUCAGCAUGCCGCCGUGAAUACGUUCCCGGGUCUU
rnacentral:rRNA from 1 species